rnacentral:tRNA from 1 species
GCUCUAGUGGCGCAAAGGCAGCGCACGGUACUUAUAAUGCAGUAUUCGUAUGAGUGAUGCCGGGGUUGUGAGUUCGACCCUCACCUAGAGCA